UACGGAGGGUGCGAACGUUGCUCGGAAUCAUUGGGCGUAAAGCGCACGUAGGCGGCGGCGUAAGCGGGAUGUGAAAGCCCAGGGCUCAACCCUGGAAGUGCAUCCCGAACUGUGUCGCUUGAAUCUCGGAGGGGGACAGAGAAUUCCCGGUGUAGAGGUGAAAUUCGUAGAUAUCGGGAGGAAUACCAGUGGCGAAGGCGCUGUCCUGGACGAAGAUUGACGCUGAGGUGCGAAAGCGUGGGGAGCAAAC
rnacentral:rRNA from 1 species